rnacentral:rRNA from 1 species
GACGAACGCUGGCGGCGUGCUUAACACAUGCAAGUCGAACGAAGAGCGAUGGAAGCUUGCUUCUAUCAAUCUUAGUGGCGAACGGGUGAGUAACGCGUAAUCAACCUGCCCUUCAGAGGGGGACAACAGUUGGAAACGACUGCUAAUACCGCAUACGAUCUAAUCUCGGCAUCGAGGAUAGAUGAAAGGUGGCCUCUACAUGUAAGCUAUCACUGAAGGAGGGGAUUGCGUCUGAUUAGCUAGUUGGAGGGGUAACGGCCCACCAAGGCGAUGAUCAGUAGCCGGUCUGAGAGGAUGAACGGCCACAUUGGGACUGAGACACGGCCCAGACUCCUACGGGAGGCAGCAGUGGGGAAUCUUCCGCAAUGGACGAAAGUCUGACGGAGCAACGCCGCGUGAGUGAUGACGGCCUUCGGGUUGUAAAGCUCUGUUAAUCGGGACGAAAGGCCUUCUUGCGAAUAGUGAGAAGGAUAGACG